rnacentral:rRNA from 1 species
AGCGUGGAGACAGGUGGUGCAUGGCUGUCGUCAGCUCGUGUCGUGAGAUAUUGGGUUAAGUCCCGCAACGAGCGCAACCCUCACCCCUUGUUGCCAUCAGGUCAUGCUGGGCACUCUAGGGGAACUGCCCCGGUCAACGGGGAGGAAGGCGGGGAUGACGUCAAGUCAUCAUGCCCCUUACGCCCUGGGCUACACACGUGCUACAAUGGCCGGUACAAAGGGAUGCAACGCCGUGAGGCAGAGCCAAACCCAAAAAGCCGGUCUAAGUUCAGAUUGGAGUCUGCAACUCGACUCCAUGAAGGAGGAAUCGCUAGUAAUCGCGUAUCAGCACGACGCGGUGAAUACGUUCCCGGGCCUUGUACACACCGCCCGUCACACCACGAAAGCCUGCUGUACUCGAAGUCGCUGAG